GUCCCCGUCGUCUAGCCCGGCCCAGGACACCGCCCUUUCACGGCGAUAACAUGGGUUCGAAUCCCAUCGGGGACACCA
rnacentral:tRNA from 1 species